rnacentral:rRNA from 1 species
GACGAACGCUGGCGGCGUGCUUAACACAUGCAAGUCGAACGAAGAGCGAUGGAAGCUUGCUUCUAUCAAUCUUAGUGGCGAACGGGUGAGUAACGCGUAAUCAACCUGCCCUUCAGAGGGGGACAACAGUUGGAAACGACUGCUAAUACCGCAUACGAUCUAAUCUCGGCAUCGAGGAUAGAUGAAAGGUGGCCUCUACAUUUAAGCUAUCACUGAAGGAGGGGAUUGCGUCUGAUUAGCUAGUUGGAGGGGUAACGGCCCACCAAGGCGAUGAUCAGUGGCCGGUCUGAGAGGAUGAACGGCCACAUUGGGACUGAGACACGGCCCAGACUCCUACGGGAGGCAGCAGUGGGGAAUCUUCCGCAAUGGACGAAAGUCUGACGGAGCAACGCCGCGUGAGUGAUGACGGCCUUCGGGUUGUAAAGCUCUGUUAAUCGGGACGAAAGGCCUUCUUGCGAAUAGUGAGAAGGAUUGACGGUACCGGAAUAGAAAGCCACGGCUAACUACGUG